GCUGGGCGCAGUGGCGCACACCUGUAAUCCCAGCAGCUCAGGAGGCUGAAGCAGGAGGAUUGCGAGUUCAAAGCCAGCCUUAGCAACUUAAUGAAGCCCCAAGCAACUCAGUGAGAUCCUGUCUCUA
rnacentral:sRNA from 1 species